UACGUAGGGUGCAAGCGUUGUCCGGAAUUAUUGGGCGUAAAGAGCUCGUAGGCGGUCUGUCGCGUCGGCUGUGAAAACUCGGGGCUCAACCCCGAGCCUGCAGUCGAUACGGGCAGACUAGAGUGCUGUAGGGGAGACUGGAAUUCCUGGUGUAGCGGUGAAAUGCGCAGAUAUCAGGAGGAACACCCGUGGCGAAAGCGGCUCUCUGGGACGGUACUGACGCUGAGACGCGAAAGCGUGGGGAGCAAACAGG
rnacentral:rRNA from 1 species